AUACGUAGGGGGCGAGCGUUAUCCGGAUUUACUGGGUGUAAAGGGAGCGCAGACGGAGAAGCAAGUCUGAUGUGAAAGCCCGCGGCUCAACCGCGGGACUGCAUUGGAAACUGUUUAUCUGGAGUACUGGAAGGGCAAGCGGAAUUCCUGGUGUAGCGGUGAAAUGCGUAGAUAUCAGGAGGAACACCGGUGGCGAAGGCGGCUUGCUGGACAGUAACUGACGUUGAGGCUCGAAAGCGUGGGGAGCAAACAGGAUUAGAUACCCUGGUAGUCCACGCUGUAAACGAUGAAUACUAGGUGUUGGGAGGCAAAGCCUUUCAGUGCCGUCGCAAACGCAAUAAGUAUUCCACCUGGGGAGUACGUUCGCAAGAAUGAAACUCAAAGGAAUUGACGGGG
rnacentral:rRNA from 1 species